rnacentral:rRNA from 1 species
UGGGUAGUCCGCACGAGCGCACCCUAUGUUUAGUUGCCAGCAUGUAAUGGUGGGGACUCUAAACAGACUGCCUGUGCAAACAGAGAGGAAGGAGGGGACGACGUCAAGUCAUCAUGGCCCUUACGUCCGGGGCUACACACGUGCUACAAUGGAUGGUACAGAGGGCCGCUACCUGGUAACAGGAUGCCAAUCUCAAAAAGCCAUUCACAGUUCGGAUAGAGGUCUGCAACUCGACCUCUUGAAGUUGGAUUCGCUAGUAAUCGCAUAUCAGCAAUGAUGCGGUGAAUACGUUCCCGGGCCUUGUACACACCGCCCGUCAAGCCAUGGAAGUUGGGGGUACCUGAAGUACGUAACCGCAAGGAGCGUCCUAGGGUAAAGCCGAUAACUGGGGCUAAGUCGUAACAAGGUAGCCGUACCGGAAGGUGCGGCUGGAAUA